rnacentral:rRNA from 1 species
UACGUAGGGGGCAAGCGUUGUCCAGAUUUAUUGGGCGUAAAGAGCGUGUAGGCGGUUCGGUAGGUCCGUUGUGAAAACUCGAGGCUCAACCUCGAGACGCCGAUGGAAACCAUCGAACUAGAGUCCGGAAGAGGAGAGUGGAAUUCCUGGUGUAGCGGUGAAAUGCGCAGAUAUCAGGAAGAACACCCGUGGCUAAGGCGGCUCUCUAGUACGGUACUGACGCUGAGACGCGAAAGCGUGGGGAGCGAACAGG